GACGAACGCUGGCGGCGUGCCUAAUACAUGCAAGUAGAACGCUGAAGAGAGGAGCUUGCUCUUCUUGGAUGAGUUGCGAACGGGUGAGUAACGCGUAGGUAACCUGCCUUGUAGCGGGGGAUAACUAUUGGAAACGAUAGCUAAUACCGCAUAACAAUAGGUGACACAUGUCAUUUAUUUGAAAGGAGCAAUUGCUCCACUACAAGAUGGACCUGCGUUGUAUUAGCUAGUAGGUGAGGUAACGGCUCACCUAGGCGACGAUACAUAGCCGACCUGAGAGGGUGAUCGGCCACACUGGGACUGAGACACGGCCCAGACUCCUACGGGAGGCAGCAGUAGGGAAUCUUCGGCAAUGGGGGCAACCCUGACCGAGCAACGCCGCGUGAGUGAAGAAGGUUUUCGGAUCGUAAAGCUCUGUUGUAAGUCAAGAACGAGUGUGAGAGUGGAAAGUUCACACUGUGACGGUAGCUUACCAGAAAGGGACGGCUAACUACGUG
rnacentral:rRNA from 1 species